AUCCAGCAAACGAGUCCCAAGUAGGACGAAAAACGCAUCCUGGAU
rnacentral:hammerhead_ribozyme from 1 species